CGCGGGAUAGAGCAGCUUGGUAGCUCGUCGGGCUCAUAACCCGGAGGUCGUAGGUUCAAAUCCUGCUCCCGCAACCA
rnacentral:tRNA from 1 species